UGGCUGAUACCAGGUACCAGGAGAUUUGCCAAUUUGCUAAAGCAAUGAAACCACAUCUGGUACAGCAGCUGUAAUCGGAGUCACCACUUGGUUAAGCUUACGAUAAUCCACUGACAUUCUCUAAGACCCGUCUGUCUUCUGCACAGGCCAAAUGGAAGAGUUGAACAGGGAUGUGGUGGGAAUCACCACCCUUGCAUCUUUCAAGUCCUUGAUGGUGGCACUCAUCUCUGUAGUCCCUCCAGGGAUGCGAUACUGUUUUCGAUUUACUAUUUUUCUAGGCAGAAACAUAGUUCU